rnacentral:tRNA from 1 species
GGUGAAAUGGCUGAGAUUUAUAGGCGUUAAAUUGUAAAUUUAAUUAGGAAUAUUAAUUCUUUCACUA